GAUGAACGCUGGCGGCGUGCCUAAUACAUGCAAGUCGAGCGAACAGACGAGGAGCUUGCUCCUCUGACGUUAGCGGCGGACGGGUGAGUAACACGUGGAUAACCUACCUAUAAGACUGGGAUAACUUCGGGAAACCGGAGCUAAUACCGGAUAAUAUAUUGAACCGCAUGGUUCAAUAGUGAAAGACGGUUUUGCUGUCACUUAUAGAUGGAUCCGCGCCGCAUUAGCUAGUUGGUAAGGUAACGGCUUACCAAGGCAACGAUGCGUAGCCGACCUGAGGGGGUGAUCGGCCACACUGGAACUGAGACACGGCCCAGACUCCUACGGGAGGCAGCAGUAGGGAAUCUUCCGCAAUGGGCGAAAGCCUGACGGAGCAACGCCGCGUGAGUGAUGAAGGUCUUCGGAUCGUAAAACUCUGUUAUUAGGGAAGAACAAAUGUGUAAGUAACUAUGCACGUCUUGACGGUACCUAAUCAGAAAGCCACGGCUAACUACGUG
rnacentral:rRNA from 1 species